rnacentral:sRNA from 1 species
GAAGCUCUCCGGGCCCCAAACUAUCAGUAGCAUAAAAUAUGACCAAGGUACUUAAAUAUUACCGUAAGUGUUACUGUACAAGAAAAAAAAUGUAUUUGGCUGAACUCUUUUGAGGAAAAGAAAUUGAAAAUCAUAUGUCGAUAACCUGAUUGGGAAUAUAAUGAGACACUAAGGUCAAUGGGACAGAAAUUGAAUAUGAAUUUGAAGAAAUUACACUGGAGAGGGGGAAUUCUGGCCUGGGAUUCAGUAUUGCUGGGGGGACAGAUAAUCCCCACAUUGGAGAUGACCCUGGCAUAUUUAUUACGAAGAUUAUACCAGGAGGUGCUGCAGCAGAGGAUGGCAGACUCAGGGUCAAUGAUUGUAUCUUGCGGGUGAAUGAGGUUGAUGUGUCAGAGGUUUCCCACAGUAAAGCGGUGGAAGCCCUGAAGGAAGCAGGGUCUAUCGUUCGGCUGUAUGUGCGUAGAAGACGACCUAUUUUGGAGACCGUUGUGGAAAUCAAACUGUUCAAAGGCCCUAAAGGUUUAGGCUUCAGUAUUGCAGGAGGUGUGGGGAACCAACACAUUCCUGGAGACAACAGCAUUUAUGUAACUAAAAUUAUAGA